AACGAACGCUGGCGGCAGGCCUAACACAUGCAAGUCGAGCGCGCCCUUCGGGGUGAGCGGCGGACGGGUGAGUAACGCGUGGGAACGUGCCCUUUUCUACGGAAUAGCCUCGGGAAACUGAGAGUAAUACCGUAUACGCCCUUUGGGGGAAAGAUUUAUCGGAAAAGGAUCGGCCCGCGUUGGAUUAGGUAGUUGGUGGGGUAAUGGCCUACCAAGCCGACGAUCCAUAGCUGGUUUGAGAGGAUGAUCAGCCACACUGGGACUGAGACACGGCCCAGACUCCUACGGGAGGCAGCAGUGGGGGAUCUUAGACAAUGGGGGCAACCCUGAUCUAGCCAUGCCGCGUGAGUGAUGAAGGCCUUAGGGUUGUAAAGCUCUUUCAGCUGGGAAGAUAAUGACGGUACCAGCAGAAGAAGCCCCGGCUAACUCCGUG
rnacentral:rRNA from 1 species